GGGUUGUGAGGUUAAGCGACUAAGCGUACACGGUGGAUGCCCUGGCAGUCAGAGGCGAUGAAGGACGUGCUAAUCUGCGAUAAGCGUCGGUAAGGUGAUAUGAACCGUUAUAACCGGCGAUUUCCGAAUGGGGAAACCCAGUGUGUUUCGACACACUAUCAUUAACUGAAUCCAUAGGUUAAUGAGGCGAACCGGGGGAACUGAAACAUCUAAGUACCCCGAGGAAAAGAAAUCAACCGAGAUUCCCCCAGUAGCGGCGAGCGAACGGGGAGGAGCCCAGAGUCUGAAUCAGUGUGUGUGUUAGUGGAAGCGUCUGGAAAGGCGCGCGAUACAGGGUGACAGCCCCGUACACAAAAAUGCACAUAUUGUGAGCUCGAUGAGUAGGGCGGGACACGUGGUAUCCUGUCUGAAUAUGGGGGGACCAUCCUCCAAGGCUAAAUACUCCUGACUGACCGAUAGUGAACCAGUACCGUGAGGGAAAGGCGAAAAGAACCCCGGCGAGGGGAGUGAAAAAGAACCUGAAACCGUGUACGUACAAGCAGUGGGAGCACGCUUAGGCGUGUGACUGCGUACCUUUUGUA
rnacentral:rRNA from 1 species